rnacentral:rRNA from 2 species
UGAGUUUGAUCCUGGCUCAGAAUGAACGCUUGCGAUAGGCUUAACACAUGCAAGUUGAACGUGUAAAACACGUAGCGAACGGGUGCGUAACAUGUGGGAAUCUACCCAUACAUGAAGGUAAAUCCUUCUUAAAAGAUCCGUGAUCGUGUAUGGAUGAGCCCGCACAAGAUUAGAUAGUUGGUGUGGGAAGGGCGCACCAAGUCGAGGAUCUUUAGCUGAUCUUAGCGGAUGAUCAGCCACACUGGGACUGAGACACGGCCCAGGCUCCCAUGGGAGACAGCAGUGAGGAAUCUUGGACAAUGCACGAAAGUGUGAUCCAGCUAUAUCGCGUGGACGAAGAAGGGUAUUUUGCUUGUAAAGUCCUUUCAGCAAUAAACAUGUUUUUACAUGGAGCCAUAAUGACAGCUCUUGCAGAAGAAGCCCCGGCUAAUUUCUGUGCCAGCAGCCGCGGUAAUACAGAGGGGGCAAGUGUUAUUCGGAAUAAUUGGGCGUAAAUGGCGUGUAGGUUGUACUUCGCUGUUAUCGGUUAAAUCCCCAUCGAUAUGGUGGGUAAGGCUGAUAGAACGGUUGUACUAGAGAGUGAGAGAGGAUACGGGAAUUUCGAGUGGAGAAGUUAAAUUCUUAGAUAUUCGAAGGAAGGCCAACUGCGAAGGCACAUAUCUGGCUCAUUUCUGACACUGAGGCGCGAAGGCGUGGGGAGCGAAGCCGAUUAGAUACCGGCGUAGUCCACGCAGUCAACGAUGCUGCAUUCCUCUUUGGAAAGCAAAAAAACUAUUUUUUUAUGGGCAUUUUAUUAUGUCCAUAAAAAUCUAUUGGUAUUCAUUUUAUUUUAAAGUGUCAGGCACCGAGAAGAUGGUGUCCUGGCGAGGUAGCUCAGUUGGUUAGAGCGCAGGAUUCAUAAUCCUGUUGUCGGCAGUUCAAGUCUGCCUCUCGUCAAACAAAAGCCGUAUUUUGUGGAUGCCUUAGGUUCAUAUGCACAAUGGGCGCUUUACGAUGCGAAACGUUGUAUCUGAGACAUCAUUCUGAUAGGUACAAAUCCCCACAGCGGUAAACCGCAAUAUUUUGACACGAGGAGAACUGAAACAUCUAAAUAUCCUCUAGGAAAAGAAAUCAACCGAGAUUCCGUUAGUAUUGGCGAAAGAACGCGGACAAGGCAUAUGAUUAUGAAAUUGAAAAACAUGUUGGAAUACAUAGACCAAAGAAGGUAAAAGUCCUGUAUUAUGCCUUUCAUAAUCAUCAAGAGUAGAACGUUAGACUGUUUGAAAA